CAGUAGCCGCGGGAAUACAGAGGGUGCGAGCGUUAAUCGGAUUUACUGGGCGUAAAGCGUGCGUAGGCGGCUUCUUAAGUCGGAUGUGAGAUCCCUGAGCUUAACUUAGGAAUUGCAUUCGAUACUGGGAAGCUAGAGUAUGGGAGAGGAUGGUAGAAUUCCAGGUGUAGCGGUGAAAUGCGUAGAGAUCUGGAGGAAUACCGAUGGCGAAGGCAGCCAUCUGGCCUAAUACUGACGCUGAGGUACGAAAGCAUGGGGAGCAAACAGGAUUAGAUACCCGCGUAGUCCCUGUCUCUUAUAC
rnacentral:rRNA from 1 species